rnacentral:rRNA from 1 species
UGGGCAACCUGCCCCUCUCUCUGGGAUAACCCCGGGAAACCGGAGCUAAUACCGGAUACUCCGGCUGGAUCGCAUGGUCCGGCCGGGAAAGGUCCGCCGGAGAGGGAUGGGCCCGCGGCCUAUCAGCUUGUUGGUGGGGUCAUGGCUCACCAAGGUGACGACGGGUAGCCGGCCUGAGAGGGCGACCGGCCACACUGGGACUGAGACACGGCCCAGACCUCCUACGGGAGCA